rnacentral:rRNA from 1 species
AGUGAACGCUGGCGGUAGGCCUAACACAUGCAAGUCGAACGGCAGCACAGUAAGAGCUUGCUCUUACGGGUGGCGAGUGGCGGACGGGUGAGGAAUACAUCGGAAUCUACUUUUUCGUGGGGGAUAACGUAGGGAAACUUACGCUAAUACCGCAUACGACCUACGGGUGAAAGCAGGGGAUCUUCGGACCUUGCGCGAUUGAAUGAGCCGAUGUCGGAUUAGCUAGUUGGCGGGGUAAAGGCCCACCAAGGCGACGAUCCGUAGCUGGUCUGAGAGGAUGAUCAGCCACACUCGAACUGAGACACGGUCCAGACUCCUACGGGAGGCAGCAGUGGGGAAUAUUGGACAAUGGGCGCAAGCCUGAUCCAGCUAUACCGCGUGGGUGAAGAAGGCCUUCGGGUUGUAAAGCCCUUUUGUUGGGAAAGAAAAGCAGCAGGUUAAUACCCCGCUGUUCUGACGGUACCCAAAGAAUAAGCACCGGCUAACUUCGUG